GAUGAACGCUGGCGGCGUGCCUAAUACAUGCAAGUCGAACGCUGGAGCUCUAGCUUGCUAGAUCGAAGGAGUGGCGAACGGGUGAGUAAUACAUAAGCAACCUACCCACGAAGACUGGGAUAAUCUCUGGAAACGGGGACUAAUACCGGAUAGGUAAUCGGAAGGCAUCUUCUGGUUAUUAAAGGUUACAAACACUGGUGGAUGGGCUUAUGGCGCAUUAGUUAGUUGGUGAGGUAACGGCCCACCAAGACGAUGAUGCGUAGCCGGCCUGAGAGGGUGAACGGCCACAUUGGGACGGAGACACGGCCCAGACUCCUACGGGAGGCAGCAGUAGGGAAUUUUCGGCAAUGGGGGCAACCCUGACCGAGCAACGCCGCGUGAGUGAAGACGGCCUUCGGGUUGUAAAGCUCUGUUGUAAGGGAAGAACGGUAGAUAGAGAAUAUCUAAGUGACGGUACCUUACCAGAAAGCCACGGCUAACUACGUG
rnacentral:rRNA from 1 species